AUUGAACGCUGGCGGCAGGCUUAACACAUGCAAGUCGAACGAGUGGCGGACGGGUGAAUAAUGCUUUGGAAUCUAGCUUAUGGAGGGGGAUAACUACGGAAAACUGUAGCUAAUACCGCGUACCAUAGUAUGAGCCCAAGUGGGAUUAUGUAGUUGGUGAGGUAAAGGCUCACCAACCCGACGAUCUCUAGCUGGUCUGAGAGUAUGACCAGCCACACUGGGACUGAGACACGGCCCAGACUCCUACGGGAGGCAGGGGUGGGGAAUAUUGCGCAAUGGGGGCAACCUGACGCAGCCAUGCCGCGUGAAUGAAGAAGGCCUUCGGGUUGUAAAGUUCUUUCGGUAGCGAGGCGUUAACUACAGAAGAAGCACCGGCUAACUCCGUGCCAGCAGCCGCGGUAAUUC
rnacentral:rRNA from 1 species